GAGGAAGGCUGGGGGCGUGCUUACCCCAUGCAAGUCGAACGGAAAGGCCCUGCUUUUGUGGGGUGCUCGAGUGGCGAACGGGUGAGUAACACGUGAGUAACCUGCCCUUGACUUUGGGAUAACUUCAGGAAACUGGGGCUAAUACCGGAUAGGAGCUCCUGCUGCAUGGUGGGGGUUGGAAAGUUUCGGCGGUUGGGGAUGGACUCGCGGCUUAUCAGCUUGUUGGUGGGGUAGUGGCUUACCAAGGCUUUGACGGGUAGCCGGCCUGAGAGGGUGACCGGCCACAUUGGGACUGAGAUACGGCCCAGACUCCUACGGGAGGCAGCAGUGGGGAAUAUUGCACAAUGGGCGGAAGCCUGAUGCAGCAACGCCGCGUGCGGGAUGACGGCCUUCGGGUUGUAAACCGCUUUCGCCUGUGACGAAGCGUGAGUGACGGUAAUGGGUAAAGAAGCACCGGCUAACUACGUG
rnacentral:rRNA from 1 species